ACUGCUGUAGCUUCAGGGCAGAAGAGCCACAGAGCCAAAUGCUGCAGAGAUGAAGGGAGACGGAAAGAGCCAAAUGCUGCAGAGAUCAAGGGAGACGGAAGGAUGUCGCCUCCAGAGCUGGGGCCACGGGCAGCGCCAGGGCAGGUUCAUCACUGAUGGCAAGUCUGUGGCUGACCACGUUCACAGGGGUGGCCCUGAGCAAAGGUCGGACAUGAGGACCCAGGAGAAUUCAGGCCCCGGCUCUGGGACGGCUGUGCACCCCCACCCUGGCCGUGGCUGGCACCUCAGAAGGCACAGCUGUCCUUCACUCGCACGGAGCAACCUCGGGACAGAUGGUGGGAGAGGAAGGGCAACUCGAGGAGGCACAUUUUAGGAAACUGCCCACGGAGCCAGUUUCGAUUCUCCAAACCUCGUCAGCAUGCAGAGGCUCCCUGACUCGGCAGCAAGGAGGGCCUCAUCAGCCGACCCCCAUGCCCGGCACCCCCUUCACCACAGGGUCCUGAAAACUCCAGAGAGCAGUGCCCUGUGCAUUAAACACAGACUGCGCCCUUGUACUCAGGGCCAGGUCUGUCUCUGAGGUCCUACCAGCUGGGACAGGUAAGAGGCUGGGGAAGGAGGAGCGUGUGUGUGUGCGCGUGUGUGUGUACAGGAGCAUAUUCAAUGAGCACAUAGGUCAAGGCUGCUGAUGGGGAAGGCAAGCCCCUCGUGGAGAGGGUGGGCAUCCACCCAGGAGCCCGCCCAGAAGUGUUCAGUUCUAUCGACAUGAAAUUUCCAUUUCUCCUUCCCUGCUGGACCUUGGGUGCCCUAGAGGGUCCCUACAUCCUCCUCCUUCCCUCCCUUCCUGAUGCCCACACAGAGCCUGCUGCAAAGUAGGUGCUCAGGGAAUAUCCAUUUAAUUCAACUGUAUUUCAUCAGAGAGAUGUGGCUUUCCCAGACAAGGAAGAAUUCAGAAAACAGCCCAGACAUGCUCAGAGCAGACAGCUGGACUCUAACCAGGCUCUGCGACUUGCUGACUCACAGGCCGUUUGUCCCUCAAGAUUCCCCACGGGGUAGUCGGCCUCAAGGCAGCUCCACCUGACGGCUGAGCUCGCUCCUUGCUGAGGGGCUGGUGCCCCCAGGAGCCUCCUCUGGGAAGCUGAGACCUCCUGGUGCCACCUCGACCCCGCCGGGCGACACACGCUGAGCAGAGGCAGCACUCGGGCUGGCCGGCCCAGCAGGCAGAUGUUCCGGAACCCUUGUAAAACCCCGCAGUACAGGGACUAGGAGGACCCGAGGGGUACAGGGAACGGAACAGGAGUUGCCGGUGAUAAUUUCCCGAAAAAUUCCUAGGGGACAGAGGCUCAUCAGCCCCAGGCAACUUCCUGAGACAGAUCGGUAAAAACAACCCCUUCUUCCAGGAGGAUGCAAUUCUCUCUCUAAAGUCGAGAGCUCACCACCCCGGGCGUUCGUCACUGCAGACAUCACUGCAGACACAGAGACGGCCAUUAGAGCUCACCACCCCGGGCGUUCGUCACUGCAGACAUCACUGCAGACACAGAGAAGGCCAUUAGAGCUCACCACCCCGGGCGUUCGUCACUGCAGACAUCACUGCAGACACAGAGACGGCCAUUAUGCAGCCUCACGUGGUCACUCCUGGGGGCGGUAGGAUAUUUUAUCCUAAAGAGAAAACACCUUAAAUUCUCACAUCAGCCACCCCCAUGGCGACUCUUAACACCUUAAUGUAGCACCUUCCAACUUUUCCUGGGCAUUUAUGUACAAAUUGUAAUAAAAUUGGGUUCUUACUGCAUACGCUGCUUGCUGGUUUCUAAAUAAAAUUGGGUUCUUACUAUAUAUGCUGCUUGCUGGUUUUUUAAACCACCUUGUGCUUUCCCACAGUAUUAAAGUUCUUUAAAAAUAUGAUUUUAAACUAUAACUUAGUAUUCUGAAUACAAUACGUUUUACCAUCUUCCUGUUUGGGAGCACAUGGAUUGUUUCCAAUUUUGCUCGAUUAUAUGCAGCACUGAAAUGGACAUCCUGGCAGAUAAAUCUCUGACGACUGCCUUAGGAUAAGUUCCCAAAAGGGAAAU
rnacentral:lncRNA from 1 species